rnacentral:rRNA from 1 species
GAGUAAAGAUUUCGGUCGCUUUGGGAGGAGCUCGCUUACUAUCAGCUUGUUGGUAGGGUAAUGGUCUACCAAGGCUAUGACGGUUAGGGGGUGUGAGAGCAUGACCCCCAGCAUUGGCACUGAAACACUGGCCAAACACCUACGGGUGGCUGCAGUCGAGAAUCUUCCACAAUGGGGGAAACCCUGAUGGAGCGAUGCUGCGUGCGGGAUGAAGGCCUUCGGGUUGUAAACCGCUUUUGUAGGGGACGAAAUUUUUGACGGUACCCUUUCGAAUAAGAGGUUGCUAACUCUGUGCCAGCAGCAGCGGUAAUACAGAGACCUCAAGCGUUAUCCGGAUUUACUGGGCGUAAAGCGUCUGUAGGGGGUUUAUUAAGUUCCAAGUAAAAUUUCAAGGCUCAACUUUGAAUUCGCUUGGAAAACUAAUAAACUGGAGUCUAGCAGAGGUGCAUGGAACUUGUGGUGUAGGAGUGAAAUCCGUUGAUAUCACAAGGAACACCAAAGGCGAAGGCAUUGCACUGGGCUAGCACUGACCCUGAGAGACGAAAGCGUGGGGAGCAAAACGGAUUAGAUACCCGUGUAGUCCACGCCCUAAACGAUGAAUGCUAAAUGUUCGGGGAUUCGACCCCCUGGGUGUUACAGCUAACGCGUUAAGCAUUCCGCCUGGGAAGUACGGCCGCAAGGCUAAAACUCAAAGGAAUAGACGGGGAUCCGCACAAGCGGUGGAGCGUCUGGUUUAAUUCGACAGUAAGCGUGGUACCUCACCAGGGUUUGACAUCCCUUGACAGCCUUGGAAACAAGGUUUCCUUCGGGCAAGGUGACAGGUGCUGCAUGGUCGUCGUCAGUUCGUGCCGUGAGGUGUUCCGUUAAGUCGGGAAACGAACGAAACCCCUAUUGCAUGUUACAAUUUCUCAUGCAAGACUGCCCGGAUAUACUGGGAGGAAGGUGGGGAUGACGUCAGAUCUGCAUGGUCCUUAUACCCUGGGCGACACAGGCGCUACAAUGGCAGAGACAAAGGGUUGCAAAACCGCAAGGUGAAGCUAAUCCCAAAAACUUUGUCUAAGUUCGGAUUGAAGGCUGCAAUUCGCCUUCAUGAAGCUGGAAUCGCUAGUAAUCGUGAAUCAGCCACGUCACGGUGAAUAUGUUCCCGGAUCUUGUACUCACCGCCCGUCACACCAAGAGAGUUGGUAGCUCCCGAAGCGUCCCGUUUUAGCGGGGCAUCACGGAGAGAUCAGCGAUAGGGGUGAAGU